rnacentral:rRNA from 1 species
AACGCGAAGAACCUUACCAGGGCUUGACAUCCUACUAACGAAGCAGAGAUGCAUUAGGCGCCCUUCGGGGAAAGUAGAGACAGGUGGUGCAUGGUUGUCGUCAGCUCGUGUCGUGAGAUGUUGGGUUAAGUCCCGCAACGAGCGCAACCCUUAUCGUUAGUUGCUACGCAAGAGCACUCUAGCGAGACUGCCGUUGACAAAACGGAGGAAGGUGGGGACGACGUCAAAUCAUCAUGCCCCUUAUGUCCUGGGCUACACACGUACUACAAUGGCGGUUAACAGAGGGAGGCAAACCCGCGAGGGGGAGCGAAACCCUAAAAACCGUCUCAGUUCAGAUCGCAGGCUGAAACCCGCCUGCGUGAAGGUGGAAUUGCUAGUAAUCGCGGAUCAGCAUGCCGCGGUGAAUACGUUCCCGGGUCUUGUACACACCG